rnacentral:piRNA from 1 species
UACACUUAGCUGGUUUCUGAUUUGGGGCU